UAGGGAAUCUUCCACAAUGGACGAAAGUCUGAUGGAGCAACGCCGCGUGUGUGAUGAAGGGUUUCGGCUCGUAAACACUGUUGUAAGAGAAGAAUGACAUUGAGAGUAACUGUUCAAUGUGUGACGGUAUCUUACCAGAAAGGAACGGCUAAAUACGUGCCGG
rnacentral:rRNA from 1 species